AAUACACGCCAUCGUGUUGGGAUUCGAAUCCCAACACGAUGGCGUGUAUUUCAAUACUUGGAGUAUGUAUUAUACUGUUUUAUUGAUAUAGUACAGCGAGUUUAAAAAGUUCAAUAAUUUUGUUUAGGUCUAAACUCAACCGAAUCGUUAGCGAACAAGGUUGUCGUAUAAUGGAGUCCGCUGCUGAUGAUGUAUCCGACGAAGCAUCAGUUAACUUAGUUGUAGGCCCUAAGUCUUGAAUGAGCAAGUACUUCUGCCAGUUCUGCAAGUCCAGCUUCUGAUGCAGUUCAGCUCGAAAGUUCUGAAGAAGUAUUUCCUUUGUUGAUAGACUUAAAACACAAUGAUUUGAUAAUUGUAGAUAAAAUAUAAAGUACAAAUCUUGUACUAUACUAUUUUUGGUAACAUCCAAAUUAGGUCAUUAGUGAUGUCAAUAUUACUGUAUUAGUAUUAUGUAUGCACAUUCAGUAUAAAGGACAAUGUCUUCAUAAACUUUCAAUUGUAUGAGUAUUCUGGAAUUUUAUCAUGACAGUACAAUUCAAAUUUCUUCAUUGCAAUCAGAUAUUAUAACAAUUCAAAUUCAAUAUUCAAAAUUCAAAAAGGUCAUUCAGUCAAAUUCAUAUUCAGAAUGGUGCUGAGUCACAUGACCAGUAAUUAGAUUUGAGAAAAAAUAGUUAUUUUUGCUAAUAUGCAAAUUUGAUCGUUAAUAUGUUAAUUAAUUUGUUUUCAGAAUAAUGUUCAUGUGUAACCCAUGCAUUCAAAGUUUCAAGUACAUACUGUACAAAGUAUUUUGUUCAGUUACAGCUCCAAAAAUAAUUGUAAAAAAUAGUAAAAUGCUAGUAUUGAAUAUUUUUUCCUUAAUUAAUAUGCAAAUUAGGACAUUAGUGGUGUAUGCAAAAAUUCAGUAUAAAUAUCAAUGAAUGUCUUUAUAAACUUAUGAUUGUAUUUGCAAGUAUUUUAGUCUGAAGUUUAUCAUGACAAGUAAUUUGAUUUGGGGAAGAUUCUUAUUUUUGCUAAUAUGCAAAUUUGAUCAUUAUUAUGUUAAUUAAUAUUUGUUUUCAGAUUAAUGUUUAUGUGUAAUUGAACAUUCAAGUAUAUACAAAGUUAUUUUGUUCAGUAAUAGCUGCAAAUAUGUCAUAGAAAACGUUUAAAAUAUGCCGAUAUUCAACAUUUUUCUUAUAAUUAAUAUGCAAAUUAUGUAGUUAAAAUAUAUAAUAUGCAAAUUUUUUAUAUACAUUGAUAGCUGAUUAUGUUCAUGGUAUAUCCUGAAAAUUUGAAGAGUGUACAAUAAAUACUUUUGAAGUUAGAAGUUAAAAUGUGUUGAAACCUGUGAUUUUUAUGGUGCCAUCACUAAAACAAAGAAAAUAAAA